AGUCGAGCGGAGAUGAGGUGCUUGCACCUUAUCUUAGCGGCGGACGGGUGAGUAAUGCUUAGGAAUCUGCCUAUUAGUGGGGGACAACAUUCCGAAAGGAAUGCUAAUACCGCAUACGUCCUACGGGAGAAAGCAGGGGAUCUUCGGACCUUGCGCUAAUAGAUGAGCCUAAGUCGGAUUAGCUAGUUGGUGGGGUAAAGGCCUACCAAGGCGACGAUCUGUAGCGGGUCUGAGAGGAUGAUCCGCCACACUGGGACUGAGACACGGCCCAGACUCCUACGGGAGGCAGCAGUGGGGAAUAUUGGACAAUGGGGGGAACCCUGAUCCAGCCAUGCCGCGUGUGUGAAGAAGGCCUUAUGGUUGUAAAGCACUUUAAGCGAGGAGGAGGCUACUGAGACUAACACUCUUGGAUAGUGGACGUUACUCGCAGAAUAAGCACCGGCUAACUCUGUGCCAGCAGCCGCGGUAAUACAGAGGGUGCGAGCGUUAAUCGGAUUUACUGGGCGUAAAGCGUGCGUAGGCGGCUUUUUAAGUCGGAUGUGAAAUCCCCGAGCUUAACUUGGGAAUUGCAUUCGAUACUGGGAAGCUAGAGUAUGGGAGAGGAUGGUAGAAUCCCAGGUGUAGCGGUGAAAUGCGUAGAGAUCUGGAGGAAUACCGAUGGCGAAGGCAGCCAUCUGGCCUAAUACUGACGCUGAGGUACGAAAGCAUGGGGAGCAAACAGGAUUAGAUACCCUGGUAGUCCAUGCCGUAAACGAUGUCUACUAGCCGUUGGGGCCUUUGAGGCUUUAGUGGCGCAGCUAACGCGAUAAGUAGACCGCCUGGGGAGUACGGUCGCAAGACUAAAACUCGAAUGAAUUGACGGGGGCCCGCACAAGCGGUGGAGCAUGUGGUUUAAUUCGAUGCAACGCG
rnacentral:rRNA from 1 species